rnacentral:rRNA from 1 species
UACGUAGGGGGCAAGCGUUGUCCGGAUUUAUUGGGCGUAAAGAGCGUGUAGGCGGCCAUGUAGGUCCGUUGUGAAAACUCGAGGCUCAACCUCGAGACGCCGAUGGAAACCAUGUGGCUAGAGUCCGGAAGAGGAGAGUGGAAUUCCUGGUGUAGCGGUGAAAUGCGCAGAUAUCAGGAAGAACACCCGUGGCUAAGGCGGCUCUCUAGUACGGUACUGACGCUGAAACGCGAAAGCGUGGGGAGCGAACAGG